rnacentral:rRNA from 1 species
AUUGAACGCUGGCGGCAGGCCUAACACAUGCAAGUCGAGCGGAUGACGGGAGCUUGCUCCUUGAUUCAGCGGCGGACGGGUAAGUAAUGCCUAGGAAUCUGCCUGGUAGUGGGGGACAACGUUUCGAAAGGAACGCUAAUACCGCAUACGUCCUACGGGAGAAAGCAGGGGACCUUCGGGCCUUGCGCUAUCAGAUGAGCCUAGGUCGGAUUAGCUAGUUGGUGGGGUAAUGGCUCACCAAGGCGACGAUCCGUAACUGGUCUGAGAGGAUGAUCAGGCACACUUGAACUGAGACAUGGUCCAGACUCCUACGGGAGGCAGCAGUGGGGAAUAUUGGACAAUGGGCGAAAGCCUGAUCCAGCCAUGCCGCGUGUGUGAAGAAGGUCUUCGGAUUGUAAAGCACUUUAAGUUGGGAGGAAGGGCAGCAAGCUAAUACCUUGCUGUUUUGACGUUACCGACAGAAUAAGCACCGGCUAACUCUGUGCCAGCCGCCGCCGUAA